AUUGAACGCUGGCGGCAGGCCUAACACAUGCAAGUCGAACGGUAACAGGAAUCAGCUUGCUGAUUCGCUGACGAGUGGCGGACGGGUGAGUAAUGUCUGGGAAACUGCCUGAUGGAGGGGGAUAACUACUGGAAACGGUAGCUAAUACCGCAUAACGUCGCAAGACCAAAGAGGGGGACCUUCGGGCCUCUUGCCAUCGGAUGGGCCCAGAUGGGAUUAGCUAGUAGGUGGGGUAAUGGCUCACCUAGGCGACGAUCCCUAGCUGGUCUGAGAGGAUGACCAGCCACACUGGAACUGAGACACGGUCCAGACUCCUACGGGAGGCAGCAGUGGGGAAUAUUGCACAAUGGGCGCAAGCCUGAUGCAGCCAUGCCGCGUGUAUGAAGAAGGCCUUCGGGUUGUAAAGUACUUUCAGCGAGGAGGAAGGUGUUGAGGUUAAUAACCUUAGCAAUUGACGUUACUCGCAGAAGAAGCACCGGCUAACUCCGUGCCAGCCGCCGCCGUAA
rnacentral:rRNA from 1 species